rnacentral:rRNA from 2 species
AAAUUGAAGAGUUUGAUCAUGGCUCAGAUUGAACGCUGGCGGCAGGCCUAACACAUGCAAGUCGAACGGUAGCACAGAGAGCUUGCUCUCGGGUGA